GUGCCAGCAGCCGCGGUAAUACCGGCAGCCCGAGUGAUGGCCGAUAUUAUUGGGCCUAAAGCGUCCGUAGCUGGCCGAACAAGUCCGUCGGGAAAUCCACGUGCUUAACGAGUGGGCGUCCGGCGAAAACUGUGCGGCUUGGGACCGGAAGAUCCAAGGGGUACGUCCGGGGUAGGAGUGAAAUCCCGUAAUCCUGGACGGACCACCGAUGGCGAAAGCACCUUGGAAGGACGGAUCCGACAGUGAGGGACGAAAGCUAGGGUCUUGAACCGGAUUAGAUACCCGAGUAGUCC
rnacentral:rRNA from 1 species